rnacentral:sRNA from 1 species
CCUACAGAGACCAUCAGUGAAGAAGAAGCACUGGGAAUUGAUUUAGUUUGAACGCCGGGGCGCGCAUCCUUUAAAGGGGAUGGACAGCCGGACAGAGGUCGGCCUCGCCAAGUGCGUGCCCUGCAUCCCCCCAGCUACGACUGUCUACCUAAAUGUGCCGCUGCCGAUGUCCGGCAAGAAUAUCCGGGCCAGAAGCCUCGCAACACUGCCGUGCACACAAUGAAGGCGUGUCUGCUCUUCUGGACAGAUGUAGACAGCCUACAGGCCAUUAUCCAGGAAUCAUUUAGUCGAUGGCAAUGAGCGGCUGGUCUACAAGCUGGAAGGAGUCACGGCGCUGGCCCUGGAUCAACAGUCCGAUAUGAUCUACUAUGCCCAUGGCAAGCGAAUCGAUGAAAGGAACAAGUGAUCAACAUUGCCGCCGUGGAGGGACUUGUGUACUGGCUGGACGACAAGACCGGAGUGGAACGGAUCACUUUCAACAGUGAGCGUCGUUCCGCGGAGCUGUAGCGUCUGCCACAGAUCACCGAUCACAUAACCACACGUGUCUGCACAGCAGCACAAAGUGUUUUCUUAUCUGCAUAGCCAUUGGCACGCAGAGCGCGCGACGUCUGCUCGUGCCCCCAGCAUCUGAUGAUGCUGGAGGACAAGGAGAACUGCUGCGUAUCCGGUCUGGGGCCCCCAGUGGCGGCCCCAGUGGCGGGAGCAGUGACAUGAACAAGGACAGCACACCCGGCUCCUGGCGCUGUGAAGCCCAAAUGUGAGGCCCAAAUGUGAAGUGGGAUGUCCCACAUGUCGGUGGAUCAGUUCAGCUGCCAGUCGAGUGCAUCGACAAGGCUCUGGUCUGGGAUGCCACCACCAACUGUGAUAAUGGCCACGAUGAGGUCGACUGCUGUAAGCGGCGAGGAGACUUUCAGUGUCCCAUCAGGAAACUUUGCAUAUCGGCCACCCUGCUCUGCGAUGGCUGGAACUGUGCCGAUGGUGCAGACGAUUUUCUCCAUAUUUUUUUUUUCAUGGCGGCGCAUGUCCCUGACUCGGAUAUUCUCGCGCACCGAGACAGAAUCGAGCUCUAAGCAGUAAGAAUAGUCAAAAAUAAUUAAAAAUCUUCAUAUGAAAUAAACGAAAUUGGGGUAUAUGUAUAUACAUAUGUACAUAGGCCUAUACUACGGCUUACACACAACAUGUA